ensembl:lincRNA
UCAACGGCAAGGCCUUCAGGCACAGCCCCUAGUGAAGGAUGGGGGGUCAGGGGGUUGGUGAGACCAGAGCGAUCACCACCUGAGAUGCCACAUGGGCGGGUGUGUCAAAAAUAACCCUCGAGCCUGAAUUCAAAAAGGAACAAUCCUCAACUGCUCCAGACAGUGCAAGGGCCUGUUGGCAGAUGGAGCUGUGGCGUGCAGGACAGUGUGUGUUAAUAAAUAAGGGCAAUGGUUAAAAAACAGCAGGAGGAGCAUCAAUCCUGUGUUUAAUUUGGGUUUGGAGCAUCAAAUUAAAAUUGAAACACCACGUCACAAAAGUAGAAACUGCUGUAUGCAGGAGUACAUUUAAAAGUGAGAAGAGGAGGCACGUCUUUACUCAAAGGAUGGUGGGGGUUUGGAACAAGCUAAUGCUGAUACCCUGGUUUCUUUCGAAAAAUUACUGGAGGACAUCCUGGUAUAACACAGGCCAAGUGAAGCCAGUGCUCUCCUUUUGUUUCUGAUCUUUCUUAUGUUCAAGAGAUCGCCUGCCUGAGCUCUCUGCCAAUAAAGAUACCGCAGGCUGCUCACUGUGUGACGACCCUUCCCACAGGGCACAGAGCUGCUGCUGCAAGCCCCAAGCAAAGGCUGAUCGAUGUCCUCCUCUCCAGACGCCGCACUCAGCGGUUUGACCAGGAGGUGCAAAGCUCCAACGUACAGAGGCAGCUGGAGGAGGCCAGGGAGCGACUGAGCAGGGAGCUGCAGGCACUGCGCUUACAGAAGACGCACCACGAGUUUAUUGUGCCCCGGCAUCAGCACGACGAGGCGCAGAGCCUGCAGGCCCGUGUCCAGAGGAGAGCGGAGAGCCUACCAGGCCUGCGGGCCGCAGUGUGGGACCUCAGGUAUAUCAAUAGCAGAUCUCGUCCACUGUGUGACAGGGACUGGCCUGCAGGGUCUAAGGUUGCCUGUCGGACUUGGACUUCGAAGCUGGAGUGGGCUUGGACUUGGGGCUGUGGUCAGUGCUCUGGACUGGGGAGUUGUGAGUUUGAGUCCCAAGGGAAGCCCUUCACUCAGAUUCUCCACCACUCAUAUACUGUACAGUCAAGGUUGUGUCUUAGGCAAGCGGCUUUACCUGCGUUGGCCCUGCAGCUGCACUGAGUCGCUCAGGAAAGGAAAGACACAUCAGAAACAGCUGCACUGCUGUGCAGGAAAAUGGACAGACUGAGUGAGAUUCAGCGCCCUGCUGUCCUGUGUUUCUGGACAGACCCUUGUUCUGAGUGAAGGUACUUCCUCAACGGAGCACCCAGGUGCUGAAAUCUCUUUCGAUUUUGACGUGAAGUCCACUCUGGACCCGGAUUUCUGCACGCUGGCAAAUGUGGCAGUGCAGAUCUGGCCUGGCAUCUUCAGUACAAUGUAGUUAUCUUACAUUUUAAAAGGACUGGCUUUGCGGUGCAUCUUCACAAAACAGGCUGUAGAGCAGGGGGCCAUACUGACCACACUGCUGUGACACAGAUUGUGUGUGGGCAUAGUUCACCGUGGUUUGUAAAGUACAGUCUGUACAACACUGACACAGCCGGGGCUGGAUGUAGGUCACACGUUUGCUUGUGCAGGACUUUGUGUUUUUAAUAGUUUUUUUAUGAUGUUUCAUUAAGUGCGUAAGAAAUUGUAUAUUGUGUGUAGAAAGUAAGAUCAAGGGAGUUAUUUUCAUAUAAUGAUAGAAGACAAUGAUGGGAUUGUUUAAUGAGUACAUAAACAUUUUUUAUGAGCUAGCAUAAUUUAUAUUGCUCUGUCACAGGCAUACCUGCUGGAUUUACUCUGAUAACAUCAAUCAUUGCUCUGUGUUAAGAGAUUUCUCCAGGAAAAUUAACAAAUUCAUCAAGGAGGGCUGUAUGUUACUCUUAAUGUGAAGUUUGCAGUUUGUAUUAUUUGACUGUCUGGAG